rnacentral:misc_RNA from 1 species
CAAGUUUUCAAAUAUCAAAUUCAAAAUGGCCGACGUGUUGUGAAAAGUCACUCAAUAUCACUAUUAAAUUCUUAAGAUAUAAUUUCAUUAAUUCAGUCAUUAAUAGUGACGACAAAUACAUCUGUAAUAGCCUUACAUACAUUAAAUAAUAUUAUAAUAGAAUUUAGUGAUUACUGAUCAGUCAAACAUGGCAUGGUCGAUGCCCAACACGGGUCAAUGGAACCCCGGCAUAGCUAUGACGCCCGAUAUGAACAUGGGGUCUUAUACGCAAGAGCAGUGGGCGCUAAUGCAACAGCAGAAUUGGCAGCAAUGGUCCCAAUGGCAACAACAGUAUGCCCAAUGGCAAAAUCAAUACGGCGGAGAGUAUGCUCAACAAAUGCAGGCUAUGUCAGCCAUGCAUCCUGCACACACAGGUGCAGUACCACCACCAGUUCCUCCACCAGAAAAGCCACCACCUCCACCACCGCAUGAGAAUGAUCAACCCCUGUAUGGCGCUGUAGCAGUUCAAUCUGGCUCCGGAAUAUCAUCAAACACACAUCUAAAUAACCAAAAAGGCUACAACAAUGGUAACACCAACACAGGUAACAAUCAAAACUGGUCCUAUACAGAUCCUCACACAGACAAGCAGUCCAACCAAGGAGUUAACACUGAAGCCCUGAAGGUGCUUGCAGAGGAGGAGAAAUCAUUUGACAUCCAAUUUGAGAAGUGGGAAGAGGAGAUUGAGAAGUGGAAGAAAGAGAAUGUCAAUCAUCCUGACAGGCAAGCAUACCGGGAAUAUGAGCAGAAAUUUGAAGCUUGCCGUGCACAAUUGCUGGAGCGUCGUCAGCAGAUGAAAAUGAAGAGGGAUAAACUUAUGGGCAAUGUGCACCCAGCUUCCAACAAUACACAAACAGGUAAUAAUAAAACAAACAACUUUUCUACUCUGUCGAAUACAACAACUAAUUACACACCUAAUGUGCAAUCUAAUAACCAAUCAAAUGUACAAAAUCAAAAAAUGAAUGUACAGACUCAGUCAAAUAAGAAACCAUCUCAAUUUGAUAAGUUUAGUAACUCAGCUCACCAAGGAUACAACCGAAAUGAUAGUAAUAAAACAGUAGAUCCACAAGACAGAUACAAUUCAUAUGAUAAUAUGGAUUUAGAGUAUACUUCGGCACCACCUGAGAAAACUACUUUUAUACCUACUAGCAAUACAUCUAAAGACAUACCAGGCUUGGAUUUAGUACCACCAGUUGAAAAACCAACACCAAAAAUUGAUAUUAUCGAUAUCACUGACACCAUGCCAACCCAGCAGCAGAAUCCUGCAGCACCUGACUAUUCCACAAUUUCUAAAGGCAUAAAUAAUAUUCUCGGUGACGAGAAAAUUAUGAAUAUACUAUCAAUGAUGUCAAACCAGAAACCAUCAAAUUCUAAUGAAACUAAUCAAAGUGCACUUUAUCAACAAAGUGGAAAUAUGAUGCAGUCAAAUCAGUGGAAUGCAAACAAUAAUGAAGGUUUUGGUAAUAAUUACAAUAAUCAACAGCAAAAUAUGCCACACAGGCAACAGAAUCAAACGACUUACAGGAAUCCUCAACAACAAGGACAACAUUCAAAUUUUCCUGACAGAGAACAUCAGAGAUAUGAUGAUCAUAAUAAUGGCCGUGGUGAUGCCCAGCAAGGACAAAACUUUGACAGACAAAAUCAAUUCGGCAAUCAAAAUAUGCCACAGAGAGGAGGACCACAAUUUAGACCUAAUAUGCCCCCUCCAAGACCUAAUAUGCCCCCUCCAAGACCUAAUAUACCUCCUCCGGGACCUGAUAUACAUCCUCAAAGACCCAAUAUGCCUAGUCAAAGACCCAAUAUGUCUGCUCCAAGACCCAACAUGCCUCUUCUGAGACCCAAUAUGCCCCCUCCGAGGCCAUUGUUACAAAACUUUCCUCCACAGCAAAAUUCCAAUGACUAUCCUCAUGGUGGAUUUGACAGACAGGAAAUGUAUCAGCAGAAACCUAUGAAUCAGCCAGUAAUGCCAAAAUGGAUUGAUGAACCACUGUUUACUCCAUCAAUCAUAGUUGAAUAUGAGCAUAAACCUCUAAGAUUGAAAGCUCGAGACUUUAUUGAGCCCGUUCAUACAUUUGAUUACAACCAUAAGUCCAAAGAUGAUGGCCACAAAAAAGAUUUUGAAAAGGAAGUAGAUGAGCUAUUUUCAAGAAAACCAAGGAACACAGACAAUGACGAUUGGAGCUCUGACCGAUUGUACUCGCGAGAUUAUGACAGACGUUCCUCAAGAGACGAUUUCAAAGAUCGUUCAAACGCACCGAAUAGGGGACUUGACUUUUAUGAUAGAAGAGUAGACGACAGAAGAUACGAUGAACGCGAUAGAUACAGACGUCAAGAUUAUGAACGUAGAGAUAGAGGUGACAACGACCGCCUAAGGGAUACAGGGUUUGGCAGAGACAGAGAUCUAGGAAGAGAUAGAGAUCUGGGGAGAGACCGAGAUCUGGGGAGAGACAGAGAUCUGGGGAGAGACAGAGAUCUGGGGAGAGACAGAGAGUUUGAUAGGGCAAGAGAUACAGAUCGUGACCUAGAAUGGGAUAGAGAACGUGAUUUUCGAAGAGAUCAAGGAAGGGAUAGAGAUAUGGGAAGAGAUAGAGAUCGCGGUCGCGAUUUCGGCAGAGAUAGAGAUCUUAAAGAAAGGGAUAAUGGGCGGGAUAGGAUUUCAAGUAGGGACCCAGUAAGAGAUAGAUUAGAAAGGCGAGAUAUGCCUUGGGACCGCAGCAAAAGUGGUGAAGCUGAAAAUCGUAAAAGGGACCAUAGCAGGGAAAAGUCCAAUGAAAGUUUUGGAUCGAAAAAAUCCAAAAACUCAAAAGAAGAAAUGACACAAGCUGCUAAACAUGUAGUUAUGAUUGAUGAUAUAUUGGAAUCACCGGGGCGUGAGAUUAGACCGGAAAAAAUUGUUAUUAUUAUGAGAGGUCUACCCGGUAGCGGGAAAUCAUAUCUGUCCAAAUUAAUAAGAGACAAGGAGGCAGAACACGACGUAACAGUGAGGAUAAUGUCCAUCGAUGAUUACUUUAUGCAUGAAAGUGAAAUUGAGGAAAAGGACCCCAUCACUGGGAAAAUCGUCAAAAAACCUUCUCUUAAAUAUGAAUAUGACGAUCAACUGGAAGAAAAUUACAUAACCUCUAUGAAAAGAGCUUUCAAGAGGGGCUUGACAGACGGCUUCUUUUCGUUUUUAAUAUAUGACGCCAUUAAUGAACAAUUAAAGUGCUAUGCAGACAUAUGGAAUUUUGCAAGACAAAGUGGAUUCCAAGUGUACGUGUGUACAAUGGACAUGGACCUGCAAACGUGCUACAAGCGGAACAUACACGGGCGCACGUUGGAGGAGAUCGAAGUGAUAAAGUCUAGGUUUUUCCCAACGCCCGAGCACCACAUACAGCUGGACGCCACCACGCUGUUACAGAACGCGUCCAUACGCGAAGUGGAAAUGGAGGACGUUGAGGACGUUACCAUGGAAGACGCUGACGUCGUAGAGCUCGACUCGACGGCAUCAGCAAACCGCUCCGGCCUUCACAGCUCUCAAUGGAAGACUACCUACAGUUAGACGACUGGAAACCCAAUGUAGCCAAACCGGGGAAGAAAACUGUACUGUGACCAGGUAUUUGUUGUAAUGUUGGUACUGCUAUAGGCCAGGCCAGGUAUUGAAUAAUCCAAUCCACCUCCGGAGGUUUUGUAAGUGUUUUACUGUGUUACCUAUAUGUGUAUAUUAUUGCAAUUGAUUGAUUCGUAUGUUUGGAUUCGUAACGGUGCAUGCACAAUUCAAUACGUAAAGAGCUUGAUAGAGUCGUAAUAAUUGUUGCAUAAAUGUAUGUAUUAUGCUGUUUAAGUUAAAGAACUAAAUUUUCUAUUUAUUAA